rnacentral:ncRNA from 1 species
CCUAGUCUCAACCAUAAACGAUGCCGACCAGGGAUCGGCGGAUGUUGCUUAUAGGACUCCGCCGGCACCUUAUGAGAAAUCAAAGUCUUUGGGUUCCGGGGGGAGUAUGGUCGCAAGGCCUCAACUUAAAGGAAUUGACGGAAGGGCACCACCAGGCGUGGAGCCUGCGGCUUAAUUUGACUCAACACGGGGAAACUUACCAGGUCCAGACAUAGCAAGGAUUGACAGACUGAGAGCUCUUUCUUGAUUCUAUGGGUGGUGGUGCCUGGCCGUUCUUAGUUGG